rnacentral:rRNA from 1 species
GAGUUUGGAUCCUGGCUCAGAUUGAACGCUGGCGGCAGGCUUAACACAUGCAAGUCGAGCGGAAACGAUAGUAGCUUGCUACUAGGCGUCGAGCGGCGGACGGGUGCGUAACGCGGAGGAAUCUGCCCAGUAGAGGGGGAUAGCCCGGAGAAAUCCGGAUUAAUACCGCAUAAGCCCUUCGGGGGAAAGCAGGGGGGAUCUUCGGACCUUGCGCUAUCGGAUGAGCCUGCGUCGGAUUAGCUUGUAGGUGGGGUAAUGGCCUACCUAGGCAACGAUCCGUAGCUGGUCUGAGAGGAUGAUCAGCCACACUGGGACUGAGACACGGCCCAGACUCCUACGGGAGGCAGCAGUGGGGAAUAUUGGACAAUGGGCGCAAGCCUGAUCCAGCCAUGCCGCGUGUGUGAAGAAGGCUCUAGGGUUGUAAAGCACUUUAAGUGGGGAGGAAAGGUUGCUAGUUAAUAGCUGGCAGCUGUGACGUUACCCACAGAAUAAGCACCGGCUAACUCCGUGCCAGCAGCCGCGGUAAUACGGAGGGUGCGAGCGUUAAUCGGAAUUACUGGGCGUAAAGGGUACGUAGGCGGUUAAAUAAGUUGGAUGUGAAAGCCCCGGGCUCAACCUGGGAACUGCAUUCAAAACUGUUUGACUAGAGUGUAUAAGAGGUUAGCGGAAUAUUCCAGGUGUAGCAGUGAAAUGCGUAGAUAUCUGGAGGAACAUCAGUGGCGAAGGCGGCUAACUGGUAUAACACUGACGCUGAGGUACGAAAGCGUGGGGAGCGAACGGGAUUAGAUACCCCGGUAGUCCACGCCCUAAACGAUGAGAACUAGCUGUUGGUUGAGUAAAUUCAGUCAGUAGCGAAGCUAACGCGUUAAGUUCUCCGCCUGGGGAGUACGACCGCAAGGUUGAAACUCAAAGGAAUUGACGGGGGCCCGCACAAGCGGUGGAGCAUGUGGUUUAAUUCGAUGCAACGCGAAGAACCUUACCAUCCCUUGACAUCCUCAGAAUUUGUCCGUAAUGACUUAGUGCCUUCGGGAACCGAGAGACAGGUGCUGCACGGCUGUCGUCAGCUCGUGUCGUGAGAUGUUGGGUUAAGUCCCGCAACGAGCGCAACCCUUAUCCUUAUUUGCUAACGCGUUAUGGCGAGAACUUUAAGGAGACUGCCGGUGAUAAACCGGAGGAAGGUGAGGACGACGUCAAGUCAUCAUGGCCCUUACGGGAUGGGCUACACACGUGCUACAAUGGCCGGUACACAGGGCUGCAAACUCGCGAGAGUGAGCGAAUCCCACAAAGCCGGUCGUAGUCCGGAUUGGAGUCUGCAACUCGACUCCAUGAAGUCGGAAUCGCUAGUAAUCGUGGAUCAGAAUGCCGCGGUGAAUACGUUCCCGGGCCUUGUACACACCGCCCGUCACACCAUGGGAGUGGGUUGCAAAAGAAGUAGGUAGCUUAAUCUUUCGGGAAGGGCGCUUACCACUUUGUGAUUCAUGACUGGGGUGAAGUCGUAACAAGGUAG